rnacentral:ncRNA from 2 species
AUGAUCCGCGUUGUCGACGGUUCCGCGAGGAAUCAAUAGGGAAUGCGGUGCGGGCUUAUGCCCAAAGCCGUGGCUGCCCCCGCAACUGUAAGCGGCUAGCCCUCCCCAGAGGCCACUGAAGAAUUCUUCGGGAAGGCGGGGAAGGGCGGCGAUCCGCAAGCCAGGAGACCUGCCGGCGACGCAGAUACUCG